rnacentral:lncRNA from 10 species
GCCGCCCAGGUGCCGCAGACCGGCGCGGCUCCCGGGAUGCACCAGGGGCGGCGCGGCGCGGCCCUGGCCUCGCCAGGAACGCCCGGUGACCUUGGGCUAGUCUAGUUCUGGUCCAGAUGACUCAGUGAGGACCACAGAAUCCCUGCCUCGUGGGCUGGGCGGGGGUUCGGGCAGCGCUGGAAAGCCGGGCGCGGUGCGGUGGGGUCCGCCUGGGUGCGGAGGCAGCGGCGGAGCCGGCGAAUCUUGGACCGGGCCUGGGGCUGGGACACGCCGGUCGGUUCCCCGAGAACCCCUCGCCUAAAGGGUGCUCUUCCCGAGCCCGCCCUCUCCCUGCUAUCCCGUUAAGCCCUCUCCAGUGGUCCCGGUGCCUUGCUAAUCCACGGGGCCCUAGGACGAUCCGGCCGUGUCCCACACCCUCGCACUCACGCACCUCGGGGACGACUAGCCGGGUCAGACCCUCGCAGACGUCCAGAUCAGAAAUAAGGGCUUGCGUCUGGACCCUCCUCCCUCCGCGGCCUUGCAGACAUCUGCGAGCCCCAGGCAGAGCUCUGCCCUGAGACCCGGGCCACGGGGGGACCCUGCCGGCGGCUCCGCCCCCUGGAGGGCCCCGCUUACCACAGACACAGAGGCACAAAGGACAUGAUUUCCCCUUUUUGGUUCCACCGGUGGUGUCAGGCCGAGAGGCGGCGGGCUUGGCAUUGGGAUGUACGGCCUGCCAGGCUCCCCUUGCAGCGUUAACCGAGCUCUACUGUUCGUCCUGGGUCCCCGCAACCCGCCCCAGCUGCAGCCACAGCCUCCUGAUCCUCUGACCCAUUCUUCAUGACACAAGCAGAAAUCUCAUGUGAUCAGAAGAAAGCUACCCUUAAAGCCAUUCAGAUACCAUCCUAGACGAAAAAAGGCCCCCCGCCCCAUCAGGGUCUUGGAUGAUCCUGCCACUGAACAUGGAUUUUGAGAGAGCGGCACAUUGCACAGGAUUGGGAUUCAUGAUGUCACCAGUAUCCCCAAAGACAAAAGGUUUUAUUGGGCAGGAGAGAACCUGAGAAUGCCUGCCUCACACACCUCUGACACCCAAGCUACUGCAAAGCAAGAGGCUGAGCACCCAGCACUCUACUAUUUGCUGAAUCAAUGAAUGACAAUAAUGACCAUUAGGCCUGGGUGCCUUGGCUCAUGCCUGUAAUCCCAGCAGUUUGGGAGGCCGAGGUGGGCGGAUCACCUGAGGCCGGGAGUUCAAGACAGCCUGGCCAGCAAAGCGAAACCCCGUCUCUACUACAAAUACAAAAAUUAGCUGGGCAUGGUGGCACACACUUGUAAUCCCAGCUACUCGGGAGGCUGAGGCAGGAGAAUCGCUUGAACCCGGGAGGCAAGGGUUGCAGUGAGCCGAAAUAGUGCCAUUGCACUCCAGCUUGGGCAACGAGCAAAACUCCGUCAAAAAAAAAAGAGGCCGGGCACAGUGUGGCUCUCGCCUGUAAUCCCAGCACUUUGGGAGGCCGAGGUGGGGCGGGUC